AACGAACGCUGGCGGCAGGCCUAACACAUGCAAGUCGAGCGAGCAUUUCGGUGCUAGCGGCGGACGGGUGAGUAACGCGUGGGAACGUGCCCUUUUCUGCGGAAUAGUCCUGGGAAACUGGGGGUAAUACCGCAUACGCCCUUUUGGGGAAAGAUUUAUCGGAGAAGGAUCGGCCCGCGUUGGAUUAGGUAGUUGGUGGGGUAAUGGCCCACCAAGCCGACGAUCCAUAGCUGGUUUGAGAGGAUGAUCAGCCACACUGGGACUGAGACACGGCCCAGACUCCUACGGGAGGCAGCAGUGGGGAAUCUUAGACAAUGGGGGCAACCCUGAUCAAGCCAUGCCGCGUGAGUGAUGAAGGCCUUAGGGUUGUAAAGCUCUUUCAGCUGGGAAGAUAAUGACGGUACCAGCAGAAGAAGCCCCGGCUAACUCCGUG
rnacentral:rRNA from 1 species